rnacentral:rRNA from 1 species
GAUGACCUCGCGUCCCAUUACCUAGUUGGCGAGGUAACGGCCCACCAAGGCUACGAUGGGUAGCUGGUCUGAGAGGAUGGUCAGCCACACUGGGACUGAGACACUGCCCAGACUCCUACGGGAGGCUGCAGUCGAGAAUCUUGGGCAAUGCGCGAAAGCGUGACCCAGCAAUGCCGCGUGCAUGAUGAAGGCCCUCGGGUCGUAAAAUGCUGUCUCCCGUGACGAAUAAUGACGGUAGCGGGGAAGGAAGCCACGGCUAACUACGUGCCAGCAGCCGCGGUAAUACGUAGGUGGCGAGCGUUGUUCGGAUUUAUUGGGCGUAAAGGGUCUGUAGGAGGUUUGUUAAAUACGAGGUGAAAUCCGGGGGCUCAACUUCCGAAUUGCCUUGUAGACUGAUGAACUAGAGUACUGGAGAGGUAAGCGGAAUACCAGGUGUAGCGGUGGAAUGCGUAGAUAUCUGGUAGAACACCAAUAGCGAAGGCAGCUUGCUGGACAGAAACUGACUCUGAAAGACGAAAGCAUGGGGAGCAAACAGAAUUAGAUACCCUGGUAGUCCA